UUUCCCCUGCCGUGCGCGACAGUGGCAGCAAACCUUGAGCCUAGAUGUUGAACCGGGAGUCCGAAAUCCGUGCAGCUGACGGCAGGCCGCUCCGGGCGGAAGUCGGUACGCUGCUGUGAGGGCACCCCCUUACUGAGGUAGGUUCAACAGGUUUGCUGCACGCCGGCAAUGCGCGGGGGAAAC
rnacentral:other from 1 species